AACGAACGCUGGCGGCGUGGAUAAGACAUGCAAGUUGAACGCUAAUUUCAGUGUAGCAAUAUAUUGGAGUUGGAGUAGCGCAAGGGUGCGUAACACGUGGGUAAUUUGCCAUGAAGUUGG
rnacentral:rRNA from 1 species